rnacentral:lncRNA from 1 species
GAGCUCUGACCCACAGAGCAGUGUGGGGAUAAAUACUGUGUGCAGUCCUGGGCUGCUCAGGUUGAUGGGGCUGGCGUGGAGGUGGCUUCCUCAAGUGCAGGGCCUGAGGCCUUUGGAGGGAAAUCCCAUCAAAAAGGAUGAAGCUGGGUUCCUAACACCACUCACAAAUAGCCCAUCAGAAAGGAUGAAGCUGGGUUUGCUAACACCCCUACUCGUAUGCAUACACACCAAGGAAUGCCUGGCUGCCUGUUCCCGCUGGCAUUUGUCUGAACAAGCUGCAGCACAAAUCUGGAUGAAUCCUGGGUUCAGCCCUGCAGGAGGCCUCAGGUAUUUGGUUUCCUGAGUGAUAUUUUGAAGCUUUCUUUUCUGAACCCCAUUGAACUGUGACUGUGAAAUCCUCCCUGGAGAACUCCUGUCUCGGAUCCAAGUAGAUCUUGCUCUGAUCAGGAGUAAUGUCUCAGAGGAGUGAUAGGAUCAACUUCAUCCUCCUGUAGAUUUUCCUUCUCUGCCGGCAACCAAUUUCUUGCACACUGCUACAGGAAAAAAAAAAAAAUCUAAUAAAAACAAACAACUCCCAGGGAUGCUCCUGUGCCUCACUCUGCCAAGGACUGGUGAUCACAUCAACAUCUUGGUUCUCAGGCAUCUGCCAAAACCCAAUGACUUCAGCCAGAACGGCAGAGCAGGGGUGAGCCAGCUGUGAUAUAACGGGCAGAGCUCUGGUUCCUGGGGAGUCUUCUCUGCAGACAUGGGCUUCUUCAUUUAAUGGGCCUUGGAUCUUAUUUAACACAUCGGCUCAUGUACCGUGCGGGUGUAAAGAAGCUGUGUGUAUAUAAUAAAAAACCUCAGCCUAUUCAGUAGCUAAGGGAGGCCUAAUAAAUUUGCCACUACAGCAAGUGUUAGUCUCUAGGGCCAAUACUGAAUGCUGGAGUUUAAUAAACAAAAAUUCUGAACUAAAAGGUAAACCAGUUCAGCUGACAAAGCAAAAACAAUGUAAUUAGAAAU